AAUUAAGUAUUUUAUUAAAAAUAUUGAUUUGUGGGGUCAAAGAAAUAAAGUUAUUUAUUUUAAUUA
rnacentral:tRNA from 1 species